GAUGAACGCUGGCGGCGUGCUUAACACAUGCAAGUCGAACGGAAAGGCUCCUGCUUGCAGGGGUACUCGAGUGGCGAACGGGUGAGUAACACGUGGGUGAUCUGCCCUGCACUUCGGGAUAAGCCUGGGAAACUGGGUCUAAUACCGGAUAGGACGAUGGAGUGGAUGCCAUUGUGGAAAGUUUUUCGGUGUGGGAUGAGCUGGCGGCCUAUCAGCUUGUUGGUGGGGUAAUGGCCUACCAAGGCGUCGACGGGUAGCCGGCCUGAGAGGGUGUACGGCCACAUUGGGACUGAGAUACGGCCCAGACUCCUACGGGAGGCAGCAGUGGAGAAUAUUGCACAAUGGGCGCAAGCCUGAUGCAGCGACGCCGCGUGGGGGAUGACGGCCUUCGGGUUGUAAACUCCUUUCGCUAGGGACGAAGCGCAAGUGACGGUACCUGGAGAAGAAGCACCGGCUAACUACGUG
rnacentral:rRNA from 1 species